AAAUAAGUGCAGGGAGGCAGCUUGAGAAUCCCUUCCCCUUUCUGGGUCUUGGGUGGGGUGGGGCUGGGAUUCUAGGCAGAGCAGACCUGAUUUGAGGGCACUUGCACUGUGUGCAGUUGUGCUGGCUCAUGCCACAUGACAGGAUAGGAGCCCUGUAGGAAGACAGUGCAGCUUUGUCCAACAGAGUGUGGCCAAGCUGUGCACCCAAGGGCUGCCCUUGCUGGGAGAAAGGCACGCCUUCUUCUUGACACAAAGCCUGGUGAAGCUUUUUCUGCCCACAAAGACAUCUUCUGCAUGCCAAGCCAUCAGCCUGCUUAAGGAACCUGAGCUCCACAGGACUCAAUGAAAAAGCAACUGUAACAGAAGAGAUAGGUAAGUUAUGUUCUCUGUUUACUUUGUUUAUGUCUGAAUUUACUUUGAAACGCUUCAGCACUGGCAGUGUGAUUUGCUGUAUAUGUUAUUUAGAUGUAAUCUGCACCCAAGGGAUGAUAACUUACUGUAAUUGGGAAUGCAUACUCCAGGGAUGGUUAGCUAAUAUUUACCAAAGCAGCAGACAACAGAGAAAAUGAGAGCCAAGUGAAAGGAGAAAUCCCUUAUAAAAUCAUCAGAUCUUGUCAGACUUAUUUACCACCAUGAGAACAGUAUGGGGGAAAUCACCGCCAUGAUUCAAUUAUCUCCCCCCAGGUCCCUCCUACAACAUGUGGGAAUUAUGGGAGCUGCAAUUCAAGAUGAGAUUUGGGUAGAGACAUAGCCAAAACGUAUCACCUGAUAACAAGGUUAAGAAGGGGAAGAGGCAACAUCCUCACCUGCUCAAGGUUGGAUCCAACUUUUGUGGGGCCUGAGGCUUACAUACCUUCAGGGUCUUCUUUGGAAAAGAAAUAUUAAAAAUUAUAAAUACAAAAUUAUCUAUGAAAAUGAAUGUUUAUACAGAAUGAGAAAAAAUGACUUCAAAUUUUUUUUUUUUGAGAUGGAGUCUCUGUUGCCCAGGCUGGAGUGCAAUGGCAUGAUCUCAGCUCACUGCAACCUCCACCUCCAGGGUUCAAGAUAUUCUCCUGCCUCAGCCUCCCUAGUAGCUGUGAUUACAGGCAUGCACCACCAUGCCUGGGUAAUUUUUGUAUUUUUAGUAGAGACGGG
rnacentral:lncRNA from 1 species